rnacentral:tRNA from 1 species
GGGGCCAUAGCUCAGCUGGGAGAGCGUCGCACUGGCAGUGCGAAGGUCAGGGGUUCGAGCCCCCUUGGCUCCACCA